rnacentral:tRNA from 1 species
GCCGCGGUGGUGAAACUGGCAGACACGAGAGCCUUAGGAGCUCUUGGGAGUAAUCCCGUAGAGGUUCAAGUCCUCUCCGCGGCACCA